rnacentral:rRNA from 1 species
CCUACGGGAGGCAGCAGUAGGGAAUAUUGGACAAUGGGUGCGAGCCUGAUCCAGCCAUGCCGCGUGCAGGAAGACGGCCUUCUGGGUUGUAAACUGCUUUUGCCAGGGGAUAAAAAGUCCCUGCGGGGAAAAUUGAAGGUACCUGGUGAAUAAGCCACGGCUAACUACGUGCCAGCAGCCGCGGUAAUACGUAGGUGGCAAGCGUUGUCCGGAUUUAUUGGGUUUAAAGGGUGCGUAGGUUGUUUUGUAAGUCAGUGGUGAAAUCCGGCAGCUCAACUGUCGAUGUGCCAUUGAUACUGCAGAACUUGAGUACAGACGAGGUAGGCGGAAUUGACGGUGUAGCGGUGAAAUGCUUAGAUAUCGUCAAGAACACCGAUAGCGAAGGCAGCUUACUAGACUGUAACUGACACUGAUGCACGAAAGUGUGGGGAUCAAACAGGAUUAGAUACCCUGGUAGUCCACACUGUAAACGAUGAUUACUCGAUGUUGGCGAUACACAGCCAGCGUCUUAGCGAAAGCGAUAAGUAAUCCACCUGGGGAGUACGCCCGCAAGGGUGAAAACUCAAGGAAUUGACGG